UAAAACACGGGCACAUGUUUUGUCCCACUCCCAAAUAGGUUUUAACUGCAACACAUUAAGUAGGUGACCAUAGAAACUUUCGGCUUGUAAGACGACUAACUGCAAAUUCAUGACAUUUUAUGUGAAUUUGCAUUGAAAUAUCAAUUACAAGUUGAAUGAGAAAAACAAUUUCAUGUUAUGACCCUUCAAAAUUUGUAAGAAAAUGAACUUCGAAGAACAUUAAAUAAGACAUGUGUUUUAAAAUGUACGCUUGAAAAUGUUUUGAAAUAGAUAUAUUUUUAAUAGUCAGUCAAUGAAAUUACGUUUUGAAACUACCAUUCCUACUUAAAAGUGCUUAAGCAAUCCAAUUCGUACAAGUAUUUAUGCAAAUCGAACUACCCCCCAUCACUGUUUAGAAGACGUGUUUGGAAAUUCUUUGAAACCUAGGUGGUUAUUGAUUGAUUGUGAGAUGGGCUAAAAAAUAACAUUCACACUACACAUGCAUACAGAAGUAGUACAACAUAGUACUAAUUAGCUGCUAGGAGUAAAUGCAAUACCUCUUAAACCUUGUCUAUUGUGAAAAUGCAUGUAAAUUUAAUCGUGCCUUCUAAAAUGUGAGUGAGGGAGUAUAAAGUUCAUCUGUGAUGUUUACUGUUUUAUUAUAUUGAUCCCACAGUGUGUGUCAAGCAUUAAGGAGGCUGCAUGCAUUUUCAAUGCACUCAUAGAAUAUUAAUUCACCAACAACAUGUAUUUGCACCAUUUAAUAGGUGGAGUUUCACCACACAAUGUUAUGUUCUCUUUCCCAACUAGGGCAGGGUAGUGAAGCAGUAAAAAUCGUUAAAGUGCAAGUGUAGUGUCUCAGCUGCUCCCUCUUCUGUUCUAGGCCAGCUAUGGCUAUGUACAGUAGGUUUCGACGGGCUACAUGUAUGAAUGAAUCAAGCUUCAAUCUAUUGUUGCCUUGGAUCAUCAAAUAUAGCAAACUAGUAUUUCCUCACCGUACCCAUGGCCUGUUUGGAGCUGCUCUGCUCCAACAAAAUUAAUUUUGCUUCACCAAAUUCACUUUGGAGCAGCAUCGUAUAGAAGUUGCAACUCUUCAAAAAAGAAUGUUCGGCUUCCGUCUAUCCCAGCUUCAGUAAUUGAAAAUUUGAUGGAAAGGAUCUACUUAAUUGGAUGAAAGGAGAGAAACAAAAGGAUAUACACUUAUUGAUGGAAGUGGUGGGUAAUUUCCUUUCAACUCCAUCUUCUAUAAUUUUUUGAAGCACCUCCUAAUGAGUUUCAUAAAAAUCUUGUAUUUGUACCUUAUAUUCUAGUUUUUUACGGAGCGACAUAACGUGGAGUUACCUUGUUUGGGUUGCAUUUUCUAGAGCGAAACUGAAUUUCAAGGAACAGAGCAGUUCACACAGGCCCUCGGUGCAGGUGGAUACGCACCAUGCACAACGUGCCAAAGUUUCCUAAGCACAAGUACAAAAGAGAAUGGCCAAGGGAAGACCCCAAAGUUUCCCAAGAACAAGUUACAAAAGAGAAUGUCCAAUGGAAGACGAUGGAAAUGAUGAAUGAGCGGGGAUGAUCUAUGAGCCGGGCAAGUACUCCCUCCAUCUCAGUUUAUAAGUCCCGCACAUGUACCUAGGUCGUAAAUUUAAUCAACUUAAUGAGAGACAUAUAUAACAAAAAGUAUAUCAUUAGAAACUUUAGGUGUUCUAUUUUUUAAUUAUAUAAUUUUUAUGUUAAAAAUAUUAUAUAUAUAAAUCAAAUUGACGAUUUAGGUAUACGUGCAUGCCUUCUAAAGUGUGACGGAGCGAGUAUUAUAAUUGAUGACCUAUUCAAUGCAUGUGGCUUUGUUGAAUGCGACUCACAUGCGGGACAUAUGAUUACGACGGCAUAGCGAAUACAUAAACUAUACCACACUGAUAUGAUACCGACAAGUCGAUAUACAAGCUUGUUGUAUAAUAAGUGCAUGUGGAGGCCAACAUAGUUGAUUUCCUCCUUGCGUGGCACUAUGCCCACUCGUGAUUUAUACUCCCUCCGUUCUUAAAUAUAAGUCUUUUAAGCGAUUUCACUAGAUGUCUACAUACAGAGCAAAAUGAUUGAAUGUAUACUCUAAAGUAUGUCUAUAUACAUCCGUAUGUAGUCCAUUAGUGAAAUCUCUACAAAGACUUAUAUUUAGAAACGGAGGGAGUAGUAUUUUAUAGAGAAAACUCCAUUUUUCCUCCCUCUUCUUUGGUCUGUCCACUUUUCGUUCCUUAACAUUAAAAUCGGACAAAUUGCACCACAAACUCUCAAAACCGGUCAUCUUUCGUCCCUGCGAGGAAAUCCGUGCAAAGUCAACCCAAUUUUGACCAUGUCAUGAACAUUACAUCGAUGAAUAGUAAAAUAAAAAAAUAGCAAAAAAUCUAAAAAGUCUGGAAUUUUAUGACAUCAAAGAUAGUCAGGUAUGCAAGGUUUGUGUAAAAUUUUGUCAUGUUUGUACGUUUGAUGAGCUCACGGCAAAAAAGCAAAAUUAAAUAUGCUCUGUGAUGAACCGUGAAUUCAAAAAAAUUGUUAAAAAUCAAAAAAUUCUGUUUUUUGGCAUCAAAGAUGCUCCGGUAUGCAAGGUGCGUGCAAAUUUUCAUGGUCAAAUGACACCAGAGGGUUUGGAAAUCACCCGAAGUGGCACGCACACGUAAACUCUUUUGUUCUUUUGCCACAAGCUCCUCACAUGUCAUUUGACCACGAAAAUUCGCAUGCACCUUACGUAUCCGAGCAUCUUCGAUGGCAAAACAUUUCAGAUUUUUUUGGAUUGUUUUUGCAAUUUUUUUAUAAAUUUACUGUUCAUCGAAGAACAUAUUUACUUGUUUUUUGCUGCGAACGCCCAAACAUGACAGGAGUUUGUGGACCUGACUAUCUUCGAUGUCAUAAAGUUUCAUUUUUUUCACUAUUUCUUUUUUGAAUUUAUAGUCAUCGGUGUAUUGUUCAUGCCGUGGUCAAAACCAGGUUGACUUUGCAGCAAACCCCAUAGGGAUGAAAGUGACCUGUUUCCAGAGUUCGUGGUGCAGUCUGUCCGGUUUUAGAGUUGAGGGACCAAAAGUGGCCAGACCAUAGAAUUGAGGGACGAAAAAUCUACUUUUCUCUAUUUUAUAUACUUAUAUAAGAACCUAAAGUUUCAUCUUUCACUCUGUUUUCUUUCCAUCAUCCCAUCGUCCAAUCUUCCCUGGUUUCACCCUUAACCGAUUUUUCCCGUUUCUCCUCCACUUUUGGUUUUCAUCCAAAUAAUAUUUGAUAAUCCAAUAAACCAAAUCAAUCUAUGGUAUAUCAAUAAAUUCACAGUUCGUAAAUAAAUUGUUCGUUAUAGUAAAAACCGAUACUUGUUAAGACAUCUUUGAUAACCCAAUAAUAAAUAGCAAUAAAUUCACGACACAAAAGAUAUUUGGUAUUCAAUAAAAUCGAUUAAUCAUGGACACAUACUGAUUUUAUAAGUUUAGGAAAUAGAUGGAAAAUCUAUACUUCAUAAUCCACUAGUACAUAUGAUCGUGUGUUGCAACGAGAAAGAAAAUUAGUGUGCCCAUUAAAAUGUUCAUUAGUGCUAUGAAAACAUGCGAACAAUGAAACUCGGCGGUGACACGUAGGCGGACUCCGAGAUGUAGACUUACUUUUGUCAUAAAAAAUCAAAAAUCAAAUUAAUAAUCCAGUAGUUAGACUAUGGAAGAAUAAAUUUUAAAGACAAAUUUUGCAAGGUAAGCGGAUAGCGAGGUCUAUGCUUGUUUCCUCGUAAAUAUAAUUUUGACACACCGUUUGGACUCCGAAAGAAUUUAUUGAGUCAUGAUAUGUCUCCAACGUAUCUAUAUUUUCUGAUUGUUCCAUGCUAUAAUAUUAUUAUUUUAGGAUUAUUUUUAGGCAUUUACUUGCUGUUUUGUAUUUUUUGUGGUCACUAACCUAUUAACCCAGUGCCAAGUGUCAGUUGUUGUUUUCUACAUGUUUUUGGCUUUUCAGGUUUACAGUACCAAAUGAAGUCCAAAUACCCGAAAUUUUUUGAUGAUUUUUUCUAGACCGAAAGAAGAACUGCAAGUGUUGGGAGAAGACCAGAGGCCGCAUGAGGGGCCUUCAAGCCAACAAGGCACGCCCAGGGAGGGGGAGGGGGUGGCCGCACUUUGAUGGCUUGUGGGCACCCGCCUCGGCCCCAACGCCCCUCUCUCUCUAUUAAUUCAAAUAUAUCCCAAAAACCGUAAGGAGCCUUCUGAAACACUUUUUUCGCCGACGCAAGUCUCCACUCCACCAUGUGCCUAUUUGCAGCCAUGUUCCAGUGCCCUUCCAGAGGGGGAUCGAUCAUGGAGGGCAUCUACAUCAACCUUGCUGCUCCCAUGGUGAUGUGUGAGUAGUUCACUCAUAACCCACAAGUAUAGGGGACCACAACAUUCUUCAUAGGUAGUAUUACACACUGAUUUAUUGAUUCGACAGAAGGGGAGCCAAAUAAUAUUUAUUGGUCUUAGCAGCUGAGUUGUCAAUUCAACCACACUUGGGAUAUCUCUGUGCAUCAAAGCUUUUAGUAGCACAACAAAAUAGUAGUAGUAAUGGUAACAACAAUAAAAAUAGUAACUAAGCAAGAUUCAGUAUAUGAAAAGCAUAGGCACGUGCACCAGUGAUGGAUAAUGAUUUAGAUGACAUCAAUCAGGUAAGAGUUACACACUAGAGUGACACAGAACUAGCUCCAAUUCAUCAAUGUAAUGUACGCAUGUAUUUCGUAUAUAGUCAUACGUGCUUUUGGUAAGAACUUGCAUGACAUAUUUUGUCCUACCCUCCCGUGGCAGCGGGAAUCAUAAGGAAACGAAGGGACAUCAAGGCCCCCUUUUAAUAGAGAACUGGAGCAAAGCAUGCAUUAAUACACGGUGAAUACAUGAACUCCUCAAACAAUUGCAAUCAACGGAAAAAUCCCAAUUAUUGUCACAUGGGGGUAUGCAAACCAUAACACGUAAUAGGUGCAUACCACUUGCAAGAUUGGAUCUAAACACUUUCAUAUUCAGGAAAAAUAAUAGGUUCAGAUCUAAAAUCAUGGCACUCGGCCCCUACUCGGCCCCUAGUGACAAGCAUUAAGCAUAGCAAAGUCAUAGCAAUAUCAUGAAUCACCCUCCGUAAUCCACCUUUGGUUAACUACACUACAGGGUUAACAUCGGGAGUACAAGGUCUCACCCUUGGUACUCGAUAGUACCUCCGCAGAAUCGUACCACUAAGGGGGUGUGAAGUAGAACAUACUGGAUAACAUGGAUCAAGCCCUAUCAAAAUAACUCGAUUACAUCCAAUCCCAUCACCGUCCAGGAAGCCUACAAUGGAAUUACUCACCCCCGAUGGUGAGUAUCAUGUAAUUAUUGAUGGGUGAUGACGACAACGACGAAUCCCCCUCCCCGGAGCCCCGAACGGACUCCAGAUCAGCCCUCCUCGGAAGAAUAAGAGGUGGUGGUGGCUCUGUCCCAUAAAACGCAAUGAAAACUGUUCUUUGAUUUUUUUCUCCGUAAUUGUGAAUUUAUAGGAUUGGAAUUAGGGUCGGAGGAUCCACGAGGUGGCCCCAAGCCAUUAGGGCGGACCCAUGGGGUGGGUGCGCCUUGUUGGCUUGUGACCAAUAGGUGCCCCCUCUAGUGGGUCUUCGCUCCAUAAAUCUUCAUAUUUUCCAGAAAAAUCCACAAAAAGUUUCGUCCAAUUUCGAGAACUUUUGUUUCUACACAAAAAUAUCACCAUGGCAGUUGUGCUAAAAAUAACGCCAGUCCUGGGUUAGUUUCAUUCAAAUUAUGCAAAUUAGAGCGCAAAACAAGAGCAAAAGUGUUUGAAAAAGUAGAUAUGUUUGACACGUAUCAACUCCCCCCAAUCUUAACGCAUUGCUUGUACUCAAGCAAUUAAGUUGAUAAACUUAAAUGAUAAAGAAAACUUUUAGAAACUCUUUUGUUCUCGUUGCUAUAUAUAUGCUUAGCUAGUGUUGAGGUUUUCAACAUAAAUAAUAAAUAACCAUAUCCAUGAUAACAAUUAGAUAUCAUAUUCAUUCAUGACAAUCUCACAUGCCAAAUAUUUUUCAAAACAAUCAUGAUAUAAUAUGAAUAUAUGGUAUCUUGCUAGCCCUUUCUGAGACCGCAAAACAUAAACGCAGAGCAACUAUGAGAUCCAAGCAAUGACUAAACAUUGUAAUUCAGAGUAGAAAAGAUCCAGUUAUGCUCACAUCCAGUAUUAACUAUACUCAGUGCAUAAGAAUGACAAUAGUGCUCUCAGAUCUGGUGCUUUUAGUAAGAGGGUGAUGACUCAAAUAAAAGAAAGCAACAUGAAAGUAAAUAGAAAGGCCCUUCGUAGAGGGAAUCAUUGAUUUGUAGAGGUGCUAGUGCUCAAGGUUUAAAACAGAGUUGAAAUUGUAAUUUUGGGUGGUGUGCUUUUCCUGUCAACGUCAUGAUAGAAUUUUUGAUAUCUUCCAUGCUAAACACGUUAUUGGUGGUCCCAAGCAAAAAUAUAAACUUUACACCUAUCCACCAUCCAUACACAAGCCAUUGCUGACUGAAUGCACGGGUGCCUUCAAACAUAUCAACUGCCCGAGGAGUUUUGUUCAAUUUAUUUUUGGUUAUGCAUGACUGGGCAUCCUUUUUACUAGCCUCUCUCGUGCAAUGACACACAAGUAAACACCCAUCUCGAGAAUAACCCGCUUAGCAUGGAACAUACCGACUGGCCCAUCACUCCAUGAGAGGUACGAGCACACAAAACAUAUGUUUAUUUGAAUGUUUAGAGGUGGCACAUGCAAAAUUACUUGGAAUGAUAGGUUAAUACCGCAUAUAGGUAGGUAUGGUGGACUCAUUUGGCAUAACUUAGGUUUAGGAGUUUGGAUGCACAAGCAGUAUUCCCGCUUAGUACAUGUGAAGGUUGGCAAUAGAUUGAUAAGCAACCAGCUAGAGAGCGAAACCGUCAUAAUAAUGCAUUGAGAAUAAUUAACAUUGAACAUUAGCAUGAGUAGGAUAUGGACACUAUGAAUUUAAAUAUCAUGAAAGCUGUUGUCUGGGUACGACGAUCUAUGGGACCAACGAUGCCCCUUUUGCAGGUUCACGGUGGGGUAACGCAAGCACAAAGAGCAUCAUCAACCUCGUAAGUGCUCGGGGUUUAGACAGGUUCGGGCUGCUCGGGAGUAUAAAACCCCACGUCUUGUAUUUUGUGGAUUAUAUUGGUCCAAUGUAACGACCUAGAUGCGACAAUUUCCUUAUUUGGGGGCAAGGCCUCAAUAGGGAAAAAGGCGCAUCUAAGCGAUUCGCAAGUACAUGAAUCAUUCCAUUACAUACAAGAAGGGACGAGUAUAUGAGUUGACUUACACUCGCCACAAGUGAAGUUACAAAUCCACUCAACAAUUUAUUCAAGCAUCCAUCAGGCAGGGUCCGACUAUAGACAAGAUAAACAGCAAAAUAGCAAUGAGUCUGCCUCGCUAGGCCCAAGAGACGACCAAGGUCCUCUAAUCAUUUGGGUACGUCACGAUUACAUACGCCCACUGUCCUCGUCGAACUCCCACUACAACUGCAUAUCAUCGAAAGCAUCUGUGGUGGUGUAGUAAUCUGUGAGCCACGGGGACUCAGCAAUCUUAUGACCAUGAUAGCGAGUUUAACCAAGUGAGUAGGCGAGGAUGGGGUAUUGUUUAAGUUUGCAGGGGCACUAAGUAUUUAUGUUGUCUAACUUACGAUAACAUGAAGUAAUAUGAGUGAUCUACGCAUGAUGGUCGUGAACUAGUAAUAAUCAUUAAGUGAUCCUGAACACCUACUUACGUUAGUCAUAAACCCACUGUGUUUUCGAUCGGAGAAGGAUCUACGAAGGAAACAAUCACGGUUACACACACAGUAGGUAUGUUAAACAAAGUUUCCAAGUUGGCACAUAACCACGAGCAUGACUUUCUGUAAGAUUUAAUCCUAUAGGGUGCUCCAACUAAUCCAUCACAAGUUACCACAAGCUGCAUAGAAAGCCUCGACCAUGAAUCUCGUGAUCUCCUCGGAUUCCUUAGUGGAAAACCUCAAUUCUCAAAUAGCCCAAAGCAUCACCAGAAUCCCGAUGCACAAGAUAUAUCAUUAAGGUAAAAACAAGUCCAACAAGACCACCCGACGUGGCGAUGACCCCGAUAAGAGCCGCGUAUCUCAGUCUCAAGACACGACAAAUAAGCUAAGCAUACGGUGGCCUGACAGAAAUCCCCCGAGUUGUCUCGAGGUGGCCCCGCACGGUGCUCUGUUUUGGACCAACACUCAUGAGGAGCACUGGCCGAGGGGUUGAUUAAAUUAUCCUCGGGGUAGUUAUUCUCUAUGCUUUUUAUUUAUUAAGUUAUUAGCAAAUGUAGUACCAAAGUUGGGUCUUGCUAGACAAGUCUUAAGACAAAACAAUUUAUCAAGGGGGUCCCCAUAACAACCCCAAGUGUGUUAGGAGCGCUCAAUUAUGGAAUAUAACACCGGUUACCAAAACUAAGGCGCAAAAAGCGAAACAAAACACCCAGCAAAAGGACAAGCCUUCCGCCUUUUACCAACUAUAUAGGUGCAUUAAUUAAAUAGCAUUAAAUAACAUGAUAAUCAAAAUGCCCAUGUUAUCACAUGGACCAAUGUGCACGUGCAACUAACAAUGCUAUAAGAUGGUUGAGCAAGCGCUAAAUUAGCCAUUCAAUGUUUUGCUAGGAGGUGAAGGGUUAGAGGUUUUCAAGGCAAUGUUUGAAGGCUUAAUAUUCAGGUGGCAGGCAGCGGUAAUUAACGAUGGAAAUGAUUCAUCUAGGCAUAACAAAAUUAGAAACGAUAUCAUGGUCACAAUCAUCUUGCCUGUUGGAUCUUCUGACUGACACUGCUCUUGAUCUUCCAGAACGUACUCAACGGAAUCCUCACACUCGUUAUCAGCACCCAAUGCUACCCAAAAUAAAUAUACAUCCAAUGAACACACAACAAGUAACAAUGCUUGAAACAACAUGAUGCAUGAGUGUGUGAAAGAAAAGAGCAUGUCAAUGCUAACUAGUCAAGUUUCUCAUGCAUUUAUUAAGUUGUUAGCAUUCUAGACAGAGCCUCAAUUUAAAUUAUUUUUACAUGCAUGAACAUGGUAGAAAUUGAUGCAUCAUGAGAAAUUGGUGCAAAAACAUAUAAAUAACGUUGCAAAACGAGUUACAGAACUCUCGGUAAUCACAAACCACGAAAUGGAAGGCAACAGAGACAAACCAACAAUAUGCCAGAGGCUAUGGGCAUUUACUUGGCAUUCCAAGGAUUCCACUGGACUGGGAACAAAAUUCUAGGUGGAAUAGACCUAAAAAUUAUGCAAAUCCAUUAGGCACAACUCACGCAGUGCCCAAAACAAAACUACAACCAAUCUGUCCAUUAACAACAACAUACCACUUUGAUCAACAGAAAACUAGUAGCUGUAGCCACUCAAUAGGAUCAACCAAGCCAUGAACAUGGAGCUACCAAACAUUACAACAACACUUUACUAACAGAAACAUAGAUAGGUGCAUGAACCAAUGGUAACCAAGCUCUAAACAUGGGAAAAAUUAUCACAGUUUAGGACUUUGUGAAAAUCAUAGUUUGCACUAGCAGUUUAUAAUCUGGUAGGAUGUUGACAACAACAAAACACUAUGCUACAUCUAGUUUCAUGGCAUGAAAUUUAACAAGAUGAUAGAGGGCAACAUAUACUACAAAUCACUAGCACUGAGCAUGAGCUAAAACUCCACAGAUCACUUGGUAGCAUCAAUUUAACAUGGCAUGAAAACACUAUAGAUUCUCAAACUUAGUCAAAAUCACAAUGGAACCUAGCAACAAUUUAUAUCAGCAUAACAACUUUGACAGUGAAUAAAUCUAUGCCUCAAGUCCCUAUUGGCAGAGUUGUAGCACGAAAUUGUAGAGGAUAUCAAUCACAACAAAUCAUGGCAUUUCAACAAACACAAAUGAGCAACAUAUCCCUGGGAACCAUCAUCACAACAUGAGAAGAAAAAUAACAGACUCCAACAUUUAGAAUUAUUUAGCACGUGAAUCUGCAAUAUUUUCUUAGCUACUUUGCAACAAGAAAUCCACUCAUCUACAAGACUAACAUAGCAAACAAAAAUACCAUGGCUUAGUGCCCAAAAGACACUAACACUUUCAUGUUGACACUUUCACCAAAGCAUGCAUGGAUUAAAUACUACAAAAAACACAAAAUGCCACAACAUCACAAAAUAGCACUUUUGCAAACUUGCCCAAAAGACAAACUAUAUCACCAUUGGAUUCACUGGAUUUGUCUACCCCAAAAGCAUAUAUCACACUCAUAUAUUUCUAUGGAGAAAUUUCCCACAAAAUUGAAAAGAAAAAUAACAUGCAAUUCCAAUCCAUUCAUAAGUCAGUAAUUUCCCUUUUGGGCCACUGCCAAAUCUGACAGGUGCAGAUGUGGACAUUACCAAUUCUGAUAAGUUUUAAAACAGCAAAAAAACACCAAACAAUUAGACAGGCAGGGAGGUCCAUUGGCAGUGACACCAGGCUCCCCAUAGGAUGACAUGUGGGCCCAUGGCCCACUAUCAAAGCCACCACACACUACAAAUACAUCACAAAAAGCCACAACAUCACAAAAUAGCACCGUGGCAAACUUUCCCAAAAGACAGAAACGAUACCACCAAUGGAUUCGCUGGAUUUGUCUACCCCAAAAACAUAUAUCACUCUCAUAUAUUCCUAUGGAGAAAAUUCCCACAAAACCGAAAAGAAAAAUAACAUGCAAUUCCAGUCCAUUCACAAGUCAGAAAUUCCCCGUUUCGGCCACUGCCAAAUCUAGCACGUCCAGAUCUGGACAUUUCCAAUUCUGGUUUGUUUUAAAACAACAAAAAAACACCACACAAUUAAAUAGGCAGGGGGUCCACUGGUAGUGACACCAGGCUCCCCUUAGGAUGACAUGUGAACCCAAGGCGCACUGUCAAAGCCACCACAUACUGCAGAUAAAUCAAAAGGCCGCGCGCACGUCCAGAUCUGGACAUUUUCAAUUCUGGUAUGUUUUAAAACAGCAAAAAUACACCACACAAUUAAAUAGGCAGGGUCCACUGGUAGUGACACCAGGCUCCCCUUAGGAUGACAUGUGAACUCAAGGCGCACUGUCAAAGCCACCACAUACUGCAGAUAAAUCAAAAGAAAUAGGCCGCGCGGAGGGUGGGGGUGGAACCCGCAACCUCCUGUACACACACGCGCACACUUGACCACCGGAUUACUGCUCUGAAUCUUCUCAUCUACGGGUGCUAGCCUAUCUACUCCCUCCGUUCCUAAAUAUAAGUCCUUGUAAAGAUUUCACUAGUGGACUACGUACGGAUGUAUAUAGACAUAUUUUAGAGUAUAUAUUCAAUCAUUUUGCUCCGUAUGUAGACCCUUAGUGAAAUCGCUUAAAAGACUUAUAUUUAGGAACGGAAGGAGUAUUUAGCAAAAGGUGCAACCUUUCCCUGACGCAAGAGAGGCGCGGCGGCAACAUCGACUCCACGGCGACGACGGUACGGCGAUGCAAGGUUCGCGAGGCGAGGCGGCUGCGAAUGCGGGCGUGCUACUGCUCCUGCUACACACGCACUAUUGCCGCUACUACACACGCGCGCUACUCCACUGCUGCGUGUGGCCCUGCUACUUGAGUCGAUCGGUGACGGGGCGAUGUAACACGACGAGGUAGGCGCGGGGCUAGGCUACAACGCAUGCAGAGAGAGAGAGAGAGGGAAGGGCUCACAGCGGAACGACAAGGAGGUGCGCGGCGCAGUGUGGCCGAAGCGGCGACGACGUGGCGACGCGGCUGCAACUCCUCCCGAGACGACGACGAUGUUGACGAGGAUGAGGCAGACGGCACGAUAGUCCCUUGGCGCAGACGACACCGGCGGUGAUGAAGAAGACGCCCAUGAUGAUGCACCCGAGCUGCUCCCACAACAGCUGGCUUCAUGGGGGAGAGGAGCUCGAGCUCCCUGUGGCCAUUGCGAUGACAACAGGAGAGACUAGCUACCAGCGGCGGGAGAGGGAGGACAAGAGGCAAAUGGAGCGGGA
rnacentral:lncRNA from 1 species